UUGGAUGUCCAGGGCAGGCUCUGAGGCUGAGCAACGCCAUCAGCCCCCAGGUCCCCUGGCUGGCGACUCUGUUAUGUGUGCUGUUUGUUCCUCAUGAUCUCAAGAUGGCUGCUGCUAAUCCAGCUGUGAUAUCUGUGCUUCAAGAAGAAAAGAGGGAUGACAUAAAAUCUGUAAAGCGGAGAGAAUCAUCACUGACUUUGAGGUUGUCGUGAGGCUGAGAUGAGCAGACCUAUGCAAAGUCCUCCCAGCAGUACUGGCAUAUGGCAAGCACUCAGUGAGGCAAAAUCAGUCUUGCAGGAAGAAUAAGAUAUGAAUUCCAUUAAGCAAAACGUGUUACCAGUCCUUCUCCAUGUCAGAUGACGCAUAGGCUGGGAUGCCUUGUUUCUGAUUCUGAAGAAGAGGAGAUAAGCGCUGUUAACAGGACUUGCUCAGCCUUUUCAAAGUGACCUCAAUGGACAAUGACCUCAGCACUGGGAAAGCUGGUCCUAGGAAAUGAAGGCAAAGUUGAAUAGAGAAAUGCCAGGUGUAUUUCCCUUAAGAGUGAAAGUGACUUACCAAGACUUCCAACCUGCUGGCCACCUCUUGUGCAUUUGGUUCCACUAACGGUGUCAUCAGUUAACUGGACCAGUGUGAUACUCUGCAGGAUGCCCAGCUGAGCUAUGUCCUUUCCGAC